rnacentral:rRNA from 1 species
AACGAACGCUGGCGGCAGGCCUAACACAUGCAAGUCGAGCGAGACCUUCGGGUCUAGCGGCGGACGGGUUAGUAACGCGUGGGAACGUGCCCUUCUCUGCGGAAUAGCCACUGGAAACGGUGAGUAAUACCGCAUACGCCCUUCGGGAGAAAGAUUUAUCGGAGAAGGAUCGGCCCGCGUUAGAUUAGAUAGUUGGUGGGUAACGGCCUACCAAGUCUACGAUCUAUAGCUGGUUUUAGAGGAUGAUCAGCAACACUGGGACUGAGACACGGCCCAGACUCCUACGGGAGGCAGCAGUGGGGAAUCUUAGACAAUGGGCGCAAGCCUGAUCUAGCCAUGCCGCGUGUGUGAUGAAGGUCUUAGGAUCGUAAAGCACUUUCGCCAGGGAUGAUAACGACAGUACCUGGUAAAGAAACCCCGGCUAACUCCGUG